AUUGAACGCUGGCGGCAUGCUUUACACAUGCAAGUCGAACGGCAGCGCGGGCUUCGGCCUGGCGGCGAGUGGCGCACGGGUGAGUAAUGCAUCGGAACGUGCCCCGUAGUGGGGGAUAGCCCGGCGAAAGCCGGAUUAAUACCGCCUACGACCUGAGGGUGAAAGCGGGGGGCCGAAAGGCCUCGCGCUCUUGGAGCGGCCGAGGUCGGGCUAGCUAGUUGGUGGGGUAAAGGCUUACCAAGGCGACGAUCCGUAGCUGGUCUGAGAGGACGACCGGCCACACUGGAACGUGAACACGGCCCAGGCGCCUACGGGAGGCAGCAGUGGGGAAUUUUGGACAAUGGGGGGAACCCUGGCCCAGCCAUGCCGCGUGCGGGAAGAAGGCCUUCGGGUUGUGAACCGCGUUUGUUCGGGAAGAAAUCCUCUGGGCUAAGACCCCGGGGGGAUGACGGUACCGGAAGAAUAAGCACCGGCUAACUACGUG
rnacentral:rRNA from 1 species